rnacentral:rRNA from 1 species
UCCUACGGGAGGCAGCAGUGGGGGAUAUUGCACAAUGGAGGAAACUCUGAUGCAGCAACGCCGCGUGAGGGAAGAAGGUCUUCGGAUUGUAAACCUAAGUAGUCAGGGACGAAAGAAAUGACGGUACCUGAAGAGUGAGCUCCGGCUAACUACGUGCCAGCAGCCGCGGUAAUACGUAGGGAGCGAGCGUUGUCCGGAUUUACUGG